GGCUUCAAUGAUAUGCUCUGCCCGGUGGCCUCCAGGAUCAGCCUCGACUCAUGAAGAACACCCAAGGGACCUGACUUAAUGAUGAGGAUGAUGUUGGAGGAAUCGGAGUGGUCACUGAAGAUCGUGGACUCGCAUCCGCCAUUGCUGGAAGUUUGAACUUCGAGAGGGCAGAGCGAUCCCGUAUGAGAAGACCACCGAUGUGAUCAUAGCAUUUUCUCUGGGCGUACCUUC